GAAGGACCUGAGUCGUGCGGGGUGCGGGUGUGUCCUAGGAAGGUAGGAAGGACCGGUAGUUCGCUGUUGUGUACAUAGCCUGGUUACUGCUCUACAGUGGCUGCUGACACGGAGCCGUGGUAGGGGGCACGUCCAUGGUGGUGGUGGUGGUGGUGGUCGUGGUGAUCGCAAGCUGUCGACAAGCGGUCUGUUCCGAUUCCAGUAAAAGACGAAGCAUCUCGGGCAUGGACGAUGCUGGAAACAUAUGAAAAGACAGCAUGGUUUUAGUUGACGCACAAUGCAGCUGUCGAUGCCGUGCGGACUGUGGCGGAGACUGCGGGCAAGGUGUGGAAUCAAGAGAAUGUGAGGCGGGCGGCAGCGGCUGGGCGGGCCGUGCGGGAGGCAGGGCAGGGAGAAUGGGUCUUGUCACCCGUCCUCUCCUUGAUCACCCCCGGGACUUCGAUCGUCACGCAGAUGCUGUCUUUCCUGCCGGAUUUGGCCAGCGUGGUGGUGCAGGUCCUGGCCACAAGCGUGUACCUGGCGGGCACGGGCGUCACUGCCGUGGGGUCAGGUCUCAGCUUCGGCAGCAGCGCUGUGGAGGGCCUCGGCAGGAGCCUCACGACUGCGUCCUACGUGCUACCCAACCUGGUGUCGCUGCUGGUGGUGGUGGGUCUGUCUCUGGUGCUGCUCUUCCCGGGCGUCUACGACUGGGUCACCAACGCUGUCGCCUCCGUCGGAUUAACGCUGGCUGGGCACGUGACGACGGCAGCCCGAGGUUUUAUGCGCGAUGACUCAACUUUGGCCACCCUCUUGGACACCACCGCGCUCUUCAUGAGGAAGCUUCGGCAGGACUUCCAGAUAUGAGUCCCCUGCGACUAUCACAUCAUCAAGUUUUCCAGUCAUUCUUGGACAUCUCAAAUUUAUUAAUUGCUAAUAAAUUGGUUCCGUUA